CUGCACCGAUGAGCAAUACAUCUCGAAGACUGCGUAGCUUUUUGGGUACCUAAGGCCCGCAUUCCGUACGCCGGCAAGCCCGGAAGCAUGGCCCGGUCACUAUGGGCCCUAAAAGAUAAAUGUUGCUUUUCAUUGUUUAUUUAUGCAUGUAUAAUGUGCUAAAUGUCGCGAGCUGAUUGGCGCAACAAUUACAAAGGUACAGAAUGGUGGGAGAGCCUGCGUCUCACAGUGAAGCUGAUAAGCAUUUAAAACGAAGUUGCCCAUGAGUUGCACGGACGAUGGCCUUGGUGCAACUUCCCGGGGGUUGUUACACAAAGGCCUCCGCCAAAGUGGUUGAUAUAGUUUACCGCUUUAGCCACUUGUUCUGGCAACGGAUAGCUGUGCUCGACUAUUGUGUAUGAUGCAUUGGAGCACAUGUAAUUUCGGCCCGCUGUAAAUUCGGCCCGCGCAACCUGUGUGCAGGCGUGGAUUUGUGCUGAAACGGCCCUCAUGUAUACCCAUUGAUCACAGGGCGGCCAGCAAACGGGUUGCUCCUUGAUGGGUGUUGAGAGCCAACCACAGGUAAAUAGUCAACGGCCACUUCACCGCAGCUCCUUAAUCACGUGCAACCUUGGGCAUAAGAGUGGAUGGGUUUUUCACAUUUCUCCUUAAAGCCUGGCACGAAUGGUUCAUUCUCCCUUCUCUCCAUACCUUGCCGUGUACUCCGCUCGUUAGCUGCGGCUGGCUGAUUGGCUGUACACCCGGACCUCAAGCUAGUAGUCUCAAUUGUAUGCAACGCGGAGAAAGGCAGGCAAACGAGGCGGCAUGUAGAAGACCCAAACGAAUCGUCGUGGUAAUAGAUGGAAUUAGGAAUUGGCAGGUUGCAAAAUUUUCUCAUGGAGCAAUUCAUGUGACCGUGGCUAUUUCGUGUCCAUGUAGCUCAACCUUGGUCACGGAUACAUGGCAAAACCAUGGUGUGUGCAACAUGCACGCGCGCACUACCCUCUUAACCUUUUUUGUAAACAAUGAGACCUAGCCCACGCACGGCGUCGAGAAGCCGCCAGCUCUGUACAUCAGACAUCCUACCGCUGCACUUUGAACUAGAUCCUCAGGGCGGCAUACCAUCACCAAGGUGCCAACAACAUCCAUGCUGGCAGCGCAACUCAUACAUAUAUUCCAUGCAUACAUGUGCUGCUGCUUCCCUGUCUCUUACGCCCCCGCACCGCAGUCCAGCGUAGCCCCUGCAAACACAUCGCAUGAAGGUGACAUUUGGCCCAUG
rnacentral:lncRNA from 1 species